AGCGGCGAACGGGGUAGGAAUACCUCGGUGACGUACCCCCGGGUCGGGGAUAGCGGCGGGAAACUGCCGGUAAUACCCGAUACUCUGCCUUGAUUUUAGUUUGGGGCAGCAAAGGUGUGAUUCCGUCUGGGGAGCGGCCGAGGCCGUAUUAGCUAGUUGGUAAGGUAACGGCUUACCAAGGCAAUGAUGCGUAGGGGGUGUGAGAGCAUGGCCCCCACCACUGGCACUGAGACACUGGCCAGACACCUACGGGUGGCUGCAGUCGAGAAUCUUCGGCAAUGGGCGAAAGCCUGACCGAGCGACGCCGCGUGCGGGAUGAAGGUCUUCGGAUUGUAAACCGCUGUCGGAGGGGAUGAAAUGCAUAGGGGUACUCCCCUGUGUUUGACAGAGCCUCGGAGGAAGCACGGGCUAAGUUCGUGCCAGCAGCCGCGGUAAUACGAACUGUGCGAACGUUAUUCGGAAUCACUGGGCUUAAAGGGUGCGUAGGCGGCGGCACAAGUCAGGUGUGAAAUCCCCCGGCUCAACCGGGGAACAGCGCUUGAAACUAGGUCGCUCGAGUGAGGCAGGGGUGUAUGGAACUUCCGGUGGAGCGGUGAAAUGUGUAGAUAUCGGAAGGAACGCCGGCGGCGAAAGCGGUACACUGGGCCUUGUCUGACGCUGAGGCACGAAAGCUAGGGGAGUGAACGGGAUUAGAUACUCUGGUAAUCCUAGCCGUAAACACUGAGCACUGGA
rnacentral:rRNA from 1 species